rnacentral:tRNA from 1 species
UGGGGUUUUGGCUCAGAGGUAGAGCACUCACCUAGCAUGUGCAAGGCACUGGGUUCAAUCCUCAGCACCACAU